UAGUGUAAUGGAACAGCACGGCAGACCGGAUAUCUGUAAGUGCGGGUACGAGUCCCGC
rnacentral:tRNA from 1 species